AAUUAUCUGAUCAUCUUUCACCUUCACAAAAAUAACCAAAUAAGUAAGAAAAUAUACAUAUAAUUAACGCAUAAUCUUCAUUUUGCAUAGUCAAAUAUCAAGUGGAUAAAAAGAAUUGACUAAAUGCAUAUGCAUGGCUCUAAAUCUACUUUUAGAUGCUUGUAUCACAGAGAUCUCAAAAUUUGACUAAGAAUGCAAAAUCAUUGUUGCUCAGAGUGAUGUGUGACAAUCCUUUAAAAUACCAUCAAAAUAGGUAGGUUUCCGCUUCCUAGGAUAUAACUUCGGAUGAAAUCCUCCAUAUCCUUCAUAAAUGGAUUCAUUUUAACAGAUAAAACCAAUUUGGUGUUGAAGAAGCACCUAAAUGUUAUGUAUCAGACCUGCACUUA
rnacentral:misc_RNA from 1 species